CACUACGAAGCUUAGAGCGUUAGCCUUUUAAGUUAAAGUUAGGGACCCCAAAUCUCCGUAGUGA
rnacentral:tRNA from 1 species